rnacentral:lncRNA from 1 species
AGAUGUAAUUAAGGCCCCGAAUCAGUUGACCUUAAGAGGAAGCAAUCAUCCUAAUGGGCCUGAUCAAAACAGCUGAGCCCUUUAAACCCAAGUCUAGAAGUCAGAGACAGAAGAGUCAGAGAGAAUCAAAAUGAGAAGAUGCCAGGUGGGGCAAGAGUCUCCACUGCUGGCUUUAGACAUGGAGGGGGCCACAUAGCAAGAAAAGUGGGUCAUCUCUAGGAGCUGAGAGGACCCUGGCUGGCUGAUGGCCAGGAAGGAAAGGAAUCCUCAGUCCUACAACCAUAAGGAAAUAAGUCUUCCAACAACUAGUAAGCUUGGAAGAGAACGCCCAGCCCCAGAUGAACACCGAGCCCUGGCCGACACGUUGACAUCAAAUUGAUGCUCAGCUGAAUCCAGAGGAGUGUUGACUUGCCUGCUGUCCUCUGGAGAUGCUCCCGCUAAAUGCAUGGAAAGUCACUCAACAUCAGAGAUCAUUGAGCCAAGGAUGUGAGAGCCACUGUCACCUUAGAGAGCUUACAGUCGCCCACGUUCUCUUAAAAUUUUCCGCAAUUCCAGAUACAGAGGUGGGGAGGGCUGGCGGGAACGAGAGAGCAAGGGUUAAUACGGUGGAAUUUCUAUCGGCACCAGCUCCCAAGCAGCCUUUUAACAGAGAUGUUUAAUUGAUCUUUAUUGAGCAGAGCCUUCCCUUCUGCUUAUAAAAGAAAUGAUCGCUCUUCCCCCUGGCUCUAUCUGGAGAAGUUAAUAGCCCCAAUUUUCUCUUACAGCGGAGAUACUUAAUGACCGGGAGGCCAUCAUAAAUAGAGUUUAUCGUCCGAAAUACAAGCCAUGUCCUAAUCAAGCUUCACAUGGAGGUUGCCUUGCUUGUCUCUGCUGAUUUUUGGAGGGGCUUUUCCCAGCUGACAAGCACACUGUUUUUGCCACUCAGGGUCUGUGGCCAGUUAACAAAUGUCUUCAGCAAAGUAUUCUAUAGGCCUUUCCCAAAGACCCUUGAGGAUGCCGUAAUGCAGAUGGAUUUGAUCCUCUCAUGCAGGAGCUUCUAGGUGAGGCCCAAGAACUAGGUCAAAUCGUUUGCACGCGUUGUGCAGGAAUAUUUUGCAGGUAUGAGGACAAUCAUUUCAAUCCUUGCAGGAUUCAGAGACACUUCCAGGAUUCAGGACAAACAGAGCCACUUCCGGGGAGAUACGAAGAGUGGUUGAGAGGGAAAGCAAUACUUUCCAAGUUGCUUUAGUUCAUUUUUAAAGGGCCUUAUUGAUAUUAGCAUUACUCCUGGAAAUAACCUUCCAACGCAACAAGCAUUUAUUAAUAUUUCCAUUUUACAGCUAGGAAAUUUUGUAUUCAAUGUUCCUACUGGUAUGCUGUUUGAGGAAUAGAUUUGUCAGUAAACUGGAGGCUAGUUCUUGCUGCCACAGGAAACUAUUGUUAUUUGGGGGGUUGUUCUAGAGGU